GUAGGUGAACCUGCGGAAGGAUCAUUGUCGAAACCU
rnacentral:rRNA from 2 species